UGGGGAAUUUUGGACAAUGGGCGAAAGCCUGAUCCAGCAAUGCCGCGUGUGUGAAGAAGGCCUUCGGGUUGUAAAGCACUUUUGUCCGGAAAGAAAUCCUUGGCUCUAAUACAGUCGGGGGAUGACGGUACCGGAAGAAUAAGCACCGGCUAACUACGUGCCAGCAGCCGCGGUAAUACGUAGGGUGCAAGCGUUAAUCGGAAUUACUGGGCGUAAAGCGUGCGCAGGCGGUUUGCUAAGACCGAUGUGAAAUCCCCGGGCUCAACCUGGGAACUGCAUUGGUGACUGGCAGGCUAGAGUAUGGCAGAGGGGGGUAGAAUUCCACGUGUAGCAGUGAAAUGCGUAGAGAUGUGGAGGAAUACCGAUGGCGAAGGCAGCCCCCUGGGCCAAUACUGACGCUCAUGCACGAAAGCGUGGGGAGCAAGACAGGAUUAGAUACCCUGGUAGUCCACGCCCUAAACGAUGUCAACUAGUUGUUGGGGAUUCAUUUCCUUAGUAACGUAGCUAACGCGUGAAGUUGACCGCCUGGGGAGUACGGUCGCAAGAUUAAAACUCAAAUGAAUUGACGGGGUCAUAGCUGUUUCCU
rnacentral:rRNA from 1 species